UGAUAGCCAAUUAAGCCAACCGUGCUCUUUUCCCCAUGGAGGCCCAGUGUGCUGUGGCUGCAAAGCAGCAGCAUCCUUGGUAGUGUAUGCAGGCUGUUGCUUUUAUGGGUUGCCCUAAGGGACCUUGGAGACAGCC
ensembl:snoRNA SNORA70 Small nucleolar RNA SNORA70